ACUGCUCAGUAACACGUGGCUAAUCUGCCCUUGGGACCGGAACACCCCCGGGAAACUGGGGCUAAUUCUCGAUAGGUGAAGAACUCUGGAAUGAGUCUUUGCCAAAAAGACACUAGAGUUAUGCUCUUUGGUGUCGCCCAAGGAUGAGGCCGCGACCGGUCAGGUUGUUGGUGAGGUAAUGGCUCACCAAGCCUUUUACCGGUGCGGGCCGUGAGAGCGGGAGCCCGGAGAUGGGCACUGAGACAAGGGCCCAGGCCCUACGGGGCGCAGCAGUCGCGAAAACUUUGCAAUACACGAAAGUGUGACAGGGCUAUCCCGAGUGCCAUCCGCUGAGGAAGGCUUUUACCCAGUCUAGAACGCUGGGGGAAUAAGGAGAGGGCAAGUCUGGUGUCAGCCGCCGCGGUAAUACCAGCUCUCCGAGUGGUGUGGAUGUUUAUUGGGCCUAAAGCAUCCGUAGCUGGCUAAGUUAGUCCCUUGUUAAAUCCACCGAAUUAAUCGUUGGAUUGCGGGGGAUACUGCUUGGCUAGGGGACGAGAGAGGCAGACGGUAUUUCCGGGGUAGGGGUGAAAUCCUAUAAUCCCGGGAAGACCACCAGUGGCGAAGGCUGUCUGCUAGAACGCGCCCGACGGUGAGGGAUGAAAGCUGGGGGAGCGAACCGGAUUAGAUACCCGGGUAGUCCCAGCUGUAAACGAUGCAGGCUAGGUGUUUGGACGACCACGUGCCGUUCUAGUGCCGCAGGGAAGCUGUUAAGCCUGCCGCCUGGGGAGUACGAUCGCAAGAUUGAAACUUAAAGGAAUUGGCGGGGGAGCA
rnacentral:rRNA from 1 species